rnacentral:rRNA from 1 species
GACGUAGGGUCCGAGCGUUGUCCGGAGUUACUGGGCGUAAAGGGCGCGUAGGUGGUUAUGUAAGUUGGCUGUGAAAUCCCUGGGCUUAACCUAGGGUGGUCAGCCAAUACUGUGUAACUAGAGUACGAUAGAGGGUAGUGGAAUUUCCGGUGUAGCGGUGAAAUGCGUAGAUAUCGGAAGGAACACCAGUGGCGAAGGCGACUACCUGGCCCAACAUUGACACUGAGACCCGAAAGCGUGGGGAUCAAACAGG